rnacentral:rRNA from 1 species
UACGUAGGGUCCGAGCGUUGUCCGGAAUUAUUGGGCGUAAAGAGCUCGUAGGCGGUUUGUCGCGCCUGCUGUGAAAUCCCGAGGCUCAACCUCGGGCCUGCAGUGGGUACGGGCAGACUGGAGUGCGGUAGGGGAGAAUGGAAUUCCUGGUGUAGCGGUGGAAUGCGUAGAUAUCUGGAGGAACACCGGUGGCGAAGGCGGCAUCCUGGACCAACACUGACGCUGAUGAGCGAAAGCCAGGGGAGCAAACGGG